rnacentral:snoRNA from 1 species
AUUCCCCCAGAUUCCUUAACCCUCAGCUCUAAAUAUUGGUCUGUGUGGCUAAAAAAAGGAGAGAACGUAACAUUGAAGUGCACUUGGAGUCUUUAGUGACAUACCAGUCCAUUUCAAGCAUAA